rnacentral:rRNA from 1 species
UAGCUAGUUGGUGGGGUAAGGGCCUACCAAGGCGACGAUCGGUAGCUGGUCUGAGAGGAUGACCAGCCACACUGGAACUGAGACACGGUCCAGACUCCUACGGGAGGCAGCAGUGGGGAAUAUUGGACAAUGGGGGGAACCCUGAUCCAGCAAUGCCGCGUGUGUGAAGAAGGCCUGAGGGUUGUAAAGCGCUUUCAGUAGGGAGGAGGGUUGAUAGGUUAAGAGCUAAUUAACUGGACGUUACCUACAGAAGAAGCACCGGCUAACUCCGUGCCAGCAGCCGCGGUAAUACGGAGGGUGCGAGCGUUAAUCGGAAUUACUGGGCGUAAAGAGUGCGUAGGUGGUUGAUUAAGUUAUCUGUGAAAUCCCUGGGCUUAACCUGGGCAGGUCAGAUGAUACUGAUUGACUCGAGUAUGGGAGAGGGUAGUGGAAUUUCCGGUGUAGCGGUGAAAUGCGUAGAGAUCGGAAGGAACACCAGUGGCGAAGGCGGCUACCUGGCCUAAUACUGACACUGAGGCACGAAAGCGUGGGGAGCAAACAGGAUUAGAUACCCUGGUAGUCCACGCUGUAAACGAUGUCAACUAGCUGUUGGUUAUAUGAAAAUAAUUAGUGGCGC